AAAUUACAACCAAAGACCUAAGAUGGAGGCAUUUUUAAUGAGGGAAAGUACUACUGGCACAGCAGGUGUGGAAAGCAGCCAAUAAACAAAUCUGAGCAAAGUACAGAAACUAGCCAACUUUUGUUUUGUGA
rnacentral:lncRNA from 1 species